CCUACGGGUGGCAACAGUAGGGAAUCUUGCACAAUGGGCGAAAGCCUGAUGGAGCAACGCCGCGUGGGUGAAGAAGGUCUUCGGAUCGUAAAACCCUGUUGUUAGAGAAGAAAGUGCGUGAGAGUAACUGUUCACGUUUCGACGGUACCUAACCAGAAAGCCACGGCUAACUACGUGCCAGCAGCCGCGGUAAUACGUAGGUGGCAAGCGUUAACCGGAUUUAUUGGGCGUAAAGGGAACGCAGGCGGUCUUUUAAGUCUGAUGUGAAAGCCUUCGGCUUAACCGGAGUAGUGCAUUGGAAACUGGAAGACUAGAGUGCAGAAGAGGGGAGUGGAACUCCAGGUGUAGCGGUGAAAUGCGUAGAUAUAUGGAAGAACACCAGUGGCGAAGGCGGCUCUCUGGACUGAGACUGACGCUGAGGUUCGAAAGCGUGGGUAGCAAACAGGAUUAGAUACCCUGGUAGUC
rnacentral:rRNA from 1 species